UCGCUCCUACCGAUUGAGUGAUCCGGUGAACCUUUGGGACCGCGUAUGGCUUGUCCAGGCGUGGAAACUCAAGUAAACCACAUCACUUAGAGGAAGGAG
rnacentral:rRNA from 1 species